GUAAUUUUAAGGCGAGUAGCUCCCCCCAUCUAUUUCCUGUUCCGGUUUGCGAAGCGCUCGUAGAUUUUCAGCUGCGUAUGAGAAACCAUCACGUUGCAACAACGGUGAGAAAGAAAAAAGUUUACCAUCGGAUGGAAAAGUGCCCGAAAACUUUGUGCUUGAGCUCGGAUAAAGUCCUCCAACCCUUCAGUGCUGCCGAGUGAUCGCCGAUUUCGAAAGUGGCGAAAAGUGAGUUUAAUCAGCUUCAUAGCUGUAAAGUUGUUAGCCCGCGUGCUACUGUUAGCUUUAGCAUCACGUUGCUAACACGUAGCAGCUACGUCGCCGGGAAGCGCGGUGUUUGAGUCAGCUCUUACUUCGUCUGAAAGGUAAAGCAUGAUCAAAACGCUCAAAGCACUGGAUAAUCAAUAAUAAAUUGGUUUAACGUGGAAAUGUGCUCAUUAUAAUUUUAGAGUCUGGCGAUUAGCUUGGGUGCAGCUGUGCUGAGUGUCUGAGCUCAAGUGAUUUGGAGAUUGGUCAGGUUUUUUUCCCCCUCCUUUUGUGUACCCCCCUCGACCUCAUUGGUAUAUUCCGGAGCGGAUAUUCUGAUAGUCAUGAUGGCGAGCCUCCCACCUGGAUCAGAUGGAAAGGACUACACCUCUUCUGUGAUCACUGGAUUUUGCUUUGUGUGACCUACAGUGCGGUAGGCCAGAACUAAGAACACUGUCACUCAUCUGUGAGCACCAGCCCUAGCAGCUAUUUAUUUUAUUGUGAAAGUUUUUGACCGACUUAGACUGACUUGGACUAGUUUUUUCUUUGACCUAUUUUAUUUAAUUUGCUACUCUUGGGUUGGUGUGGGACAGAAAGGAAACCCUCCUUUAAGACAUCUGAUAGUGAACUGAACUGCGAAUCCUACUCAUCAGCCUGAGUUGUUUGUGAACACUGAGAACAGGCAGUGAAAGAGAUUUUUUUGUGAACAGUUGGCCAAAGAACAAACAAAGAACAAAAACCCGAGUCAUUAAGUGUCCACAUAUAUUGUAUUGUCUUAAUUAUUUGUGUUACUGUCUUUUAUUGUCUUUUAUAUAUAAAACCGGUAUAUGUUCAAGCAUCA